rnacentral:rRNA from 1 species
GACGAACGCUGGCGGCGCGCUUAAUACAUGCAAGUCGAACGAGAAGCCAGAGCUUGCUCUGGUGGAAAGUGGCGAACGGGUGAGUAACACGUGAGAAACCUGCCCCAAAGAUUGGGAUAAGCCUUGGAAACGAGGUCUAAUACCAAAUACCUUCUUUUAACACAUGUUAAAAAGAAGAAAUGCUCCGGCGCUUUGGGAUGGUCUCGCGAUCUAUCAGCUUGUUGGUGAGGUAACGGCUCACCAAGGCAUCGACGGAUAGCUGGUCUGAGAGGAUGUCCAGCCACAUUGGAACUGAGACACGGUCCAAACUCCUACGGGAGGCAGCAGUAGAGAAUCUUGCACAAUGAGGAACCUUGAUGCAGCGACGCCGCGUGCGGGACGAAGGCCCUAGGGUUGUAAACCGCUUUCAGUAGGGACGAAAGUGACGGUACCUACAGAAGAAGCCCCGGCCAACUAUGUGCCAGCAGCCG